rnacentral:rRNA from 1 species
UAGGGAAUCUUCGGCAAUGGGGGGAACCCUGACCGAGCAACGCCGCGUGAGUGAAGAAGGUUUUCGGAUCGUUAAGAUCUGUUGUUAAGGAAGAACGAGUGUGAGAAUGGAAAGUUCAUGCUGUGACGGUACUUAACCAGAAAGGGACGGCUAACUACGUGCCAGCAGCCGCGGUCAUACGUAGGUCCCGAGCGCUGUCCGGAUUUAUUGGGCGUAAAGCGAGCGCAGGCGGUUAGAAAAGUCUGAAGUGAAAGGCGGUGGCUCAACCAUUGUAGGCUUUGGAAACUGUUUAACAUGAGUGCAGAAGGGGAGAGUGGAAUUCCAUGUGUAGCGGUGAAAUGCGUAGAUAUAUAGAGGAACACCGGUGGCGAAAGCGGCUCUCUGGUCUGUAACUGACGCUGAAGCUCGAAAGCGUGAGGAGCGAACAGG